rnacentral:rRNA from 1 species
UACGAAGGGGGCUAGCGUUGUUCGGAAUUACUGGGCGUAAAGCGCACGUAGGCGGAUCGAUCAGUCAGGGGUGAAAUCCCAGGGCUCAACCCUGGAACUGCCUUUGAUACUGUCGAUCUUGAGUUCGGAGAGGUGAGUGGAAUUGCGAGUGAGAGGUGAAAAUUCGUAGAUAUUCGCAAGAACACCAGUGGCGAAGGCGGCUCACUGGCCCGAUACUACGCUGAGGCACGAAAAGCGUGGGGGAGCAAAC